GGACAGUUGAAACGAUUAGGAAGUUUUCCCGCGUUCCGUUUAAUCUUGAGAAAAUUCCAAUCAGUUUCCCCGAGAAGAAUAUUGUGCUAUCUAAGUGUCAAGUGGUAGCAAGAAAGCCGUUCGACGGCUUUUCCUCUCGGAUUUAGAAAACACGGACAGCAUCCGCCAACAACUGUCAACGGGCCACCCGCCGGCCCAUAUCCAUCCGGAACCGGAAGGGCCGC